AAAGACGAGACGUCACCAUUUUGGUGUCCGCAUCAAAUAUAAUUUACAAAAGUGAUUUUACAUACAAAAAAAACAUAUAAAAUGCAAGUAAAAUGUCUACUUUUAUGUUUCAAAUAACUUUUGUGAAAAUACAAUGACCAAAUAUGAGUUUAAUAAUGCUCCAAAGUGUAAAAUCGUCAUUCAGCGUAAUGGUCCGGACUAUGAUUUUACUAAUACAUUUUUAAAUAAACGUAUAAAAUACCAUGUUAAAAAAAAUAUUUGCUUCCUUGGCAUGUUCACAUAAGUGUUGGCUGUUUUAUAUUAAUAGGACUAUGUGUUAUUUUUUUCGUUAAAUAUUGAAACAACUAGGGGACUUUUGUCCCGAAUAUGCAGUUUGUCAGAGGUCAUUCAGUGUAACGGGAUCAGGAAACCAUUUUGAAAUUAAAUAAACAAACAAUAGUCAUCAAGCAGUCUGUGACAUCAUCAAAAGGCCCCCUGAAGACCAUCUGGUGAUUCAGCAAGAUGCCCACAAACAAAGAGAAAGUUUCUAGGCACUGGCAGAAAGUUAAUGCAGACCCAGUAGCUAGGGCAAUGCAUUUAGCAAGGAGACGAGAAAGCAACCAGAGAAGAAAGCAAGCUGCCUUGGCUGCAAAUCCUGAUCACCCGUCAAUCAGGAAUUUAUCAGAUGCUGCAGCUGAGAAGAGGCGAAAGCAAUGGCGGAAAAAUCAAAGAAAACACAGGACAGAAGCUAAACGUAUAAGGACAGUUCUGGAUCUUAUUAUACAGUAUUACCACCUGUUCAGUUAAUUUUUACGAAUAUGAUAUGCAUUAUGGAAUAAAAAUGAUUAUUAAUUUCAGCAUCUACUUCUGUGAUUUGUUAAGGAAUAAAAUGAUACAGAAUAAUAUUCAAAACAUUGCAAUAAUGGAAACAAUGACACUAUUUUUGUCAAAAAUGUCAUUCAGUGUAACAAACCAUGGUCAU